UGAGGUAUGCCUGCACCAGGUGGAGUC
rnacentral:piRNA from 1 species